GCCGGGCGCGCUUGCGCAGUCACCUGCUGCUGGCCGCCCCCCGGUACAUCCGGGUCAGCGCACGCCCGCCCGCACGGCCGGUGCCCGCGGUGCUGUGCGCCCGCUUCCCCCCGCUCCCCCCUCCCCGCGCGCGCUCCCGCUGCCCGCGCGCGCUCCCGGCGCGCUCCCGCCGCCCGCGCGCGCCGCUCCGUCGCUGCUCCGGCCGAGCGGGGAGGCGGCGGCUCCGUCUCCGCUCCCGAUCCCGGUCCCGCUCCGGAUCCCGGUCCCGCAUCGCCGCGCGCGGGGCGGCUCGAUUGUGAGGACGAGCUGCUGCAUCGAUAAUCUGAAGAAGGGAGUUCUCUGUUAAGACUGCAAGAAGAUACUGCUAACUGACUGGAGGCCAAGAACAGAGUGCAGCACUGGCUGUAGGUAAGAAUUGAAACUUAACCUGCUUGAGAACUGCUGACAAAUAAGCAAAAUUGUAGUAUGUUAAAGGACAGAAAAUGGGACUCUUUCAAUAUUAGUCAUUUUCCCUGCAAGAACUUGCUUUCCCUCUUUUCCUUCAAGAACUCUUGAAAUUUGUGGUGUUCUCUGGGAGUCCUGAUCCCUGACAGAAUUUAUGUCUCUGUGUUUAAAGAUGCUAAACCAGGCUGCAAGGAUUUGGUUUUUGCUUCCACAGGGCCUCACCAUAGAGCCUGGCGAGGCUGAUUUUGAAAACUCUUCACCAGAGUGAUGUGAAAUCUCAUUGCUUCAAAGAAGGCAUUUCCAUUAUACACAAAGUGGUUUGGCCACUUGUGUGAACUUACCCUAGAAGACUGUGCAACUUCUUGAGCUAUUUGAAGGAGGAGAUAAUGUUUUGGUGGUUUUUCUCUCUGUCUUUUUAGUAAAGCUACUGUGUAGCUGAACCAGAUCCCUUAUGCCAGAAACCAGUACUCUGAACCAGCUUGUGAGACUGAAGAGGUAGCACAUGCUCAUGUGAAGGUUAUAGCUCUUAGUUUUAUAACCUACUGCUUGUCAUCUAAGUGUCUGUGUUAUACUUCAUGUUUAUUGUGCUUUGCCAGCACAGCCAUUAAUCUUCUGUCGCGUUGGGAAGGUGAUGGUACCAAACGUGAGGUAGGAUUUAUUUUUCUUCUGUUUUUGAUUAAUCAUCAAAAAGCCAUUGAAUUCUGGGGUGCUGGUUAGAUGGAUUUGUGUUGAGGGUUAAUCCAGGCUAGAUACAGGUGCCCACCAGAGCCACUCUGUCACUCCCUUCUGAGUUGGAGAAGGGAGACAAAAUACAACAAAAAGCUCAUGGAUUGAGAUGAGGGUGGGGAGAGAUCAUUCACCAGUUACUGUCACAGGCAAAACAGACUCAGCUUAGGAAAAUUAGUUGAAUUUAUUACCAUUAGAAUUAGAGCUCCUUCCCCCCACCCCUUCUUCCUUACUAGGCUUAAUUUUAUCCCCAGUUCUUUGCCUCAGCCC
rnacentral:lncRNA from 1 species